rnacentral:lncRNA from 1 species
AGAGGCACUUUGAUGGUGUGUGACUUGGUUUAAGAAAUUGAAAGUCGACAUAAACCUUGCCUUAAUACUGCAGUCUGUGGAAGGAACAAGCACGGGCUUUCUGAGGGGUGAGGGCUUGCAACACGCGAGGCUUGUGAGCUGUUAGACCAAACAUCUGGGACCUCCAGAAUGGCUGCAUUGAUGGAUCCAGCAGAAGUCACAAAGAUGUCUCGGAGAGUUACUCUUCCUCUGGCAUUGGCUGUUAGGCUGUUUUCACUGUCUUGGGAGCUUCACAAAGGCCUUCUCGCAGGGGUUGCAAAUGUCAGUCGUCAUCUCCGAAGCUGCUGCAGGAAGCGUUCAGACCAUCAGUGGGAAUGAACUGACUGUUGGAGGAUGGAGGUUCCCACAGCCCUAGGGGAGAAGCUGAAGCUUGUGCUGAUGAUGGUGGAUGAAACACAAGGCCAGAGCAUGCCCCAUACAGCAGCUGACUUGGCCAGUCCUUGCACAACUCCUCCCUUUUCUGCUAUAAGAAGAGGGCACAUCAUAGACAAAACGCAGGACCAAGGC